rnacentral:rRNA from 1 species
CCAAUAGCGUAUAUUAAAGUUGUUGCAGUUAAAAAGCUCGUAGUUGAAUUUCGAGACCGGCUUACUGGUCGUGCUUUUGUGCGUACUGGUAUAAUCGGUUUCUCCUUUCUGACGAACUUUAAUGCCAUUAAUUUGGUGUUUUAGGGAAUCAGGACUGUUACUUUGAAAAAAUUAGAGUGUUUAAAGCAGGCUCACGCUUGAAUACAUUAGCAUGGAAUAACGGAAUAGGACGUUUGAUUCUAUUUUGUUGGUUUCUAGGAUCGACGUAAUGAUUAAUAGGGGUAGUUGGGGGCAUUAGUAUUCAAUUGUCAGAGGUGAAAUUCUUGGAUUUAUUGAAGACUAACUACUGCGAAAGCAUUUGCCAAGGAUGUUUUCAUUAAUCAAGAACGAAAGUUAGGGGAUCGAAGACGAUCAGAUACCGUCGUAGUCUUAACCAUAAACUAUGCCGACUAGGGAUCGGAUGAUGUUAAUUUUUUAAUGACUCAUUCGGCGCCUUACG